CGGGGGGGCGGGUGACAUGUUGGCUGUUCUGUGGUGUGUGGUGAUGCCCGGCGGCGCAGCUCUGGCCCCGGUGGGGAGAGCGGGCUGGGCCGUAGCCUCGUCCCUGGUCCAGCACUGGGGCUGCUGAGCCCCGCAGAGGCCCCCUGAGAGGAGCCCUGCACCCUGAGGCGCCUCAGCUCUUGGGAGCUGCCUUGCCCAGCGCAGCCUGGCCCUCAGGCCGUGUGUGCCAGCCCUGCUCGGCUUUUGUUCCUCAUGGGGCCCCUUUCUCUUCAAAUUCAUGACACUAAUCUCGUGAGUCUUUGCCCCAAACUCAGCAUGAGGUGUUGUGUCGCUGGAGCGUGAGGCUGCACUGCCUGUGGCUGCCUUGCAGGGGAGGAUGUGGCUGGGUGCCUCCCCACAGGGCCAAAACCACCCUGUCCUUCCCCAGGACGCAGGCCGGAGCAGGCAGAGCCAUUAUUAGUAUUAUAUUACAAUAUAAUGGCAAUGCUGAGAGGUUCCUGUCUCCACCGUUAGCCCCACGCCGCGAGCUUCCUUCGGAGCGCCAGCGUUAGGUUUCUCGUCCCUGAAGAAAAAGUCAUGCACAGAAGAGCACUUACGUACUACUCGGACUGCAGAAGACUCCCCAUACUGCAAUUCUGUAAUACUUACACUUUCACAGCAUACCCUGUCCAGAAGUCACUAGAAGACAAUGACUUUGAGCUUCAGAAUGUCUCUUGGGAGAGGUUUUGCAUUGGAGGAAAGGUUAAAAAACACAGAGGCAUGAAGCAAUUUACUUAAGACCAUGUGGGAAAUGGAAGCAGAAACAGUCAUGCACUUAAACCACAGCAUCAUCUUUCUACAGCAGCUUCCCUACUUAAGAGAGGAAAAUAAACAGAAAGCAGCUGGAAGAAACAGCCAUUGCUCCUUCUGUAUUAGUCUUGGUUAGACUAGGUGGCCUGAUGAGAUGGUGAUAUGCCUCCAGCUGGCCCCAAAAUGGCUGGCACACAGAAACUGUUUUACCAUUUCUUCAGGAUACGUUCCAGCAUGUUUUUUGAGGACAUGUACAGGUUGCUUCUGCUUUUAGUCUCUAAGAUGUCCAAGUCAAUCAGUGUACAACUAAUUAUUGUUGUGUCUAUAGCUAUACUUAGGGAUGUAAUCCUGCCUCAGAGGUGAGUAAAUCCGUAUGUGUCAUCAGGACAGCUUCUUAAUGCGAGAGAGAUUCUCAGUGCAAAUACUGCAUCUGGUGGAAAGGUGAAACCAGACAGGAUGAUAGUGCUUUCAGCUCACGUGGUUUCUUCAGAGGUGUUUCUGUGCAGGAAGCCUGUAGUCUCCUGUCUCCAGCGUAUCUGAGGAGUCACUUUUUGAGGUUAUUUUUGGCUAAAAUCAUUUACAGUUCUUGCCUUUCCUUCAACAUGAGAACAGUGACGUUCUUUCCCCUAGUUGAGACAUAGAUGAAACAUCUAGUCUUGCAAAGACAGAAUGCAGGAAAAAAAACUCUUAGUAAUGAGUAUUAACACAUUUGCUUAUGACUGAACAUGCAGUUCAUAAUCAUCCUCAGAUUUAAACUCUUCCACCUCUCUGAAUUUGCAGCUUGGAAUCCCCAUGGAGCUGAAUCAGCUUUCCUCUUCCUAAAGAGGAUAUAUUUAAGUCUAAUCAACCUUACCGAUUAAUGUUGGUAGUUUUUUACAAAUCUGAACUAUAGAUGAACUGCACCAGUGCAAAACUAGGGUUAUACUUGCUGGAAAAUCUCUGAAUCAAUGUAAAAAUCCAUGCAAAAAUCUCAGAAUAAACAAAUUUAUAAUUCCA